rfam:Schistosoma curassoni strain Dakar, Senegal genome assembly, scaffold: SCTD_scaffold0004418
ACUUUGCUGAUGAGUGCCAAGUAGCACGAAACUCGGGUCCAGGGU